rnacentral:rRNA from 1 species
GAUGAACGCUGGCGGCGUGCCUAAUACAUGCAAGUCGAGCGAACAGACGAGGAGCUUGCUCCUCUGACGUUAGCGGCGGACGGGUGAGUAACACGUGGAUAACCUACCUAUAAAACUGGGAUAACUUCGGGAAACCGGAGCUAAUACCGGAUAAUAUAUUGAACCGCAUGGUUCAAUAGUGAAAGACGGUUUUGCUGUCACUUAUAGAUGGAUCCGCGCCGCAUUAGCUAGUUGGUAAGGUAACGGCUUACCAAGGCGACGAUGCGUAGCCGACCUGAGAGGGUGAUCGGCCACACUGGAACUGAGACACGGUCCAGACUCCUACGGGAGGCAGCAGUAGGGAAUCUUCCGCAAUGGGCGAAAGCCUGACGGAGCAACGCCGCGUGAGUGAUGAAGGUCUUCGGAUCGUAAAACUCUGUUAUUAGGGAAGAACAAAUGUGUAAGUAACUAUGCACGUCUUGACGGUACCUAAUCAGAAAGCCACGGCUAACUACGUG